rnacentral:rRNA from 1 species
AUUGAACGCUGGCGGCAGGCCUAACACAUGCAAGUCGAACGAGUGGCGGACGGGUGAGUAAUGUCUGGGAAACUGCCUGAUGGAGGGGGAUAACUACUGGAAACGGUAGCUAAUACCGCAUACCAUCAGAUGUGCCCAGAUGGGAUUAGCUAGUUGGUGGGGUAAAGGCUCACCAAGGCGACGAUCCCUAGCUGGUCUGAGAGGAUGACCACCCACACGGGAACGGAGCAACGGUCCAGACUCCUACGGGAGGCAGCAGUGGGGAAUAUUGGACAAUGGGCGAAAUCCUGAUGCAGCCAUGCCGGGUGGAGGAAGAAGGCCUUCGGGUUGUAAAGUAUUUUGAGAGGGGAGGCGUUACCCGAAGAAGAAGCACCGGCUAACUCCGUGCCAGCAGCCGCGGUAAUAC